rnacentral:rRNA from 1 species
GGAGGGUGCAAGCGUUAUCCGGAUUCACUGGGUUUAAAGGGUGCGUAGGUGGGUUGGUAAGUCAGUGGUGAAAUCUCCGAGCUUAACUUGGAAACUGCCAUUGAUACUAUCAGUCUUGAAUACCGUGGAGGUCAGCGGAAUAUGUCAUGUAGCGGUGAAAUGCUUAGAUAUGACAUAGAACACCAAUUGCGAAGGCAGCUGACUACGCGAAUAUUGACACUGAUGCACGAAAGCGUGGGGAUCAAACAGGAUUAGAUACCCUGGUAGUCCACGCCCUAAACGAUGGAUACUCGACAUACGCGAUACACUGUGUGUGUCUGAGCGAAAGCAUUAAGUAUCCCACCUGGGAAGUACGAUCGCAAG